GAUGAACGCUGGCGGCGUGCUUAACACAUGCAAGUCGAACGGUGAAAGCGGAGCUUGCUCUGCUGGAUCAGUGGCGAACGGGUGAGUAACACGUGAGCAAUCUGCCCCUGACUCUGGGAUAAGCGCUGGAAACGGCGUCUAAUACCGGAUACGAGCUGCGAAGGCAUCUUCAGCAGCUGGAAAGAACUUCGGUCAGGGAUGAGCUCGCGGCCUAUCAGCUAGUUGGUGAGGUAACGGCUCACCAAGGCGUCGACGGGUAGCCGGCCUGAGAGGGGGACCGGGCACGCUGAGACGGAGACACGGCCCAGACUCCGAAGUGAGGCAGCAGUGGGGAAGUUUGCACAAUGGGCGAAAGACUGAUGCAGGAACGCCGCGUGAGGGACGACGGCCUUCGGGUUGUAAACCUCUUUUAGCAGGGAAGAAGCGAAAGUGACGGUACCUGCAGAAAAAGCGCCGGCUAACUACGUGCCAGCCGCCGCCGUAA
rnacentral:rRNA from 1 species